UACGAAGGGGGCUAGCGUUGUUCGGAAUUACUGGGCGUAAAGCGCACGUAGGCGGGUUAUUAAGUCAGGGGUGAAAUCCCGGAGCUCAACUCCGGAACUGCCUUUGAUACUGGUAAUCUAGAGAUCGAGAGAGGUGGGUGGAAUUCCUAGUGUAGAGGUGAAAUUCGUAGAUAUUAGGAAGAACACCGGUGGCGAAGGCGGCCCACUGGCUCGAUACUGACGCUGAGGCGCGACAGCGUGGGGAGCAAACAGG
rnacentral:rRNA from 1 species